rnacentral:rRNA from 1 species
GACGAACGCUGGCGGCGUGCCUAAUACAUGCAAGUCGAACGCUUCUUUCCUCCCGAGUGCUUGCACUCAAUUGGAAAGAGGAGUGGCGGACGGGUGAGUAACACGUGGGUAACCUACCCAUCAGAGGGGGAUAACACUUGGAAACAGGUGCUAAUACCGCAUAACAGUUUAUGCCGCAUGGCAUAAGAGUGAAAGGCGCUUUCGGGUGUCGCUGAUGGAUGGACCCGCGGUGCAUUAGCUAGUUGGUGAGGUAACGGCUCACCAAGGCCACGAUGCAUAGCCGACCUGAGAGGGUGAUCGGCCACACUGGGACUGAGACACGGCCCAGACUCCUACGGGAGGCAGCAGUAGGGAAUCUUCGGCAAUGGACGAAAGUCUGACCGAGCAACGCCGCGUGAGUGAAGAAGGUUUUCGGAUCGUAAAACUCUGUUGUUAGAGAAGAACAAGGACAUUAGUAACUGAACGUCCCCUGACGGUAUCUAACCAGAAAGCCACGGCUAACUACGUG